CAAUAGCGUAUAUUAAAGUUGUUGCAGUUAAAAGCUCGUAGUUGGAUUUCUGGUCGGAAGCUCCUGUCCUCUGAUGAGCGUACAAGUGCGUCCUACCAUCCUUCUGUUAACCUUUAAGGCUUUCGCGGCUUUCUAGGGGCUCAGAUAUUUUACCUUGAGAAAAUUAGAGUGUUUCAGGCAGGCUAGCGCCGGAAUACAUUAGCAUGGAAUAAUGGAAUAGGACUUUUGCCUCUUCUGUUGGUCAUGAGGCUCGAGUAAUGAUUAAUAGGGAUAGUUGGGGGCAUUAGUACUUAACUGUCAGAGGUGAAAUUCUCGGAUUUGUUAAAGACUAACUUAUGCGAAANCANNNGCCAAGGAUGUUUUCAUNAA
rnacentral:rRNA from 1 species